CCGGCGACCGGCGCACGGGUGAGUAACACGUAUGCAACCUGCCCUCUUCAGGGGGACAACCUUCCGAAAGGGAGGCUAAUCCCGCGUAUAUCGGUUUCGGGCAUCCGAGAUCGAGGAAAGAUUCAUCGGAAGAGGAUGGGCAUGCGGCGCAUUAGCUAGACGGCGGGGUAACGGCCCACCGUGGCGACGAUGCGUAGGGGUUCUGAGAGGAAGGUUCCCCACACUGGUACUGAGACACGGACCAGACUCCUACGGAAGGCAGCAG
rnacentral:rRNA from 1 species